UGAGUUGUGAGGGUACCUGUCCAUGAAUUGAUAGGAUUGAUUGGAUCCGAUUGUGAACUGUGGAGGCGGAGAAGAAUUUCCUUCUUCAAAAAAGGAUGUGGUUGUUUAUCUCUUAAAUAAUGCCCAACCAAAGAUUUCCUUCUAGCAGUAAUGCUCGUUUAUCUUGCCAGAACUUAGUUGAUCUGAACAUGAUCCUUGAGUAUUCUAGGAGUAAACAUCAAGACAUCUUGGAUAGGGUUUUGGAUCUAAGCAUGCAUCUCAUGGACACAUCCAUCCAAAGUUCUAUGGCCUUGGCAUGUGAUUUCAUCCAAGAGGCAAUCUGAGCUAUAACCAUGCAAUUGUAAUGCUGCCUAUCUUACUCUUCAUCAAGGUGCGUUUCGACCCGGGCUCGGUAAUGUAUAGUACCGGUGUACCGGACGGUAUAUCAAGGCGUACCGAGCGGUACACCCUGGUGUACCGAAUAAUUUUUUUAUUUUUUUCUUACUGUAGCACUGCUACAGUACAGCACUGUAGCACUGUAGCGGUACCCGGGCGGUCCGCAUACCGGUAACUUGUUGGACCGGUACGGGCGGUACAUUUCGGUAUGACAGACCUUACUCUUCAUAAUUGAUAAUGUUAACUAUAUGAACUUUGCAGUACAUCAAGUUAGAAGAUCAUGAUAUUUCUUCAACUAAUUUAUGCUGCUAGGGAUAUUGCAUUAAA
rnacentral:lncRNA from 1 species